rnacentral:rRNA from 1 species
GACAGCAGUAGCCGCGGUAAUACGUAGGUGGCAAGCGUUGUCCGGAUUUAUUGGGCGUAAAGCGAGCGCAGGCGGUUAGAUAAGUCUGAAGUUAAAGGCUGUGGCUUAACCAUAGUACGCUUUGGAAACUGUUUAACUUGAGUGCAAGAGGGGAGAGUGGAAUUCCAUGUGUAGCGGUGAAAUGCGUAGAUAUAUGGAGGAACACCGGUGGCGAAAGCGGCUCUCUGGCUUGUAACUGACGCUGAGGCUCGAAAGCGUGGGGAGCGAACAGGAUUAGAUACCCGGGUAGUCCCUGUCUCUUAUACA